AAACUUUCAACAACGGAUCUCUUGGCUCUCGCAUCGAUGAAGAACGCAGCGAAAUGCGAUAAGUAGUGUGAAUUGCAGAACUUUGUGAACCAUCGAACCUUUGAACGCAAAUUGCGCCUUCUUUCGGAAGGCAUGUCUGUUUGAGGGCACCAUU
rnacentral:rRNA from 1 species